AGAGUUUGAUCCUGGCUCAGGACGAACGCUGGCGGCGUGCUUAACACAUGCAAGUCGAACGGAAAGGCCCUGCUUUUGUGGGGUGCUCGAGUGGCGAACGGGUGAGUAACACGUGAGUAACCUGCCCUUGACUUUGGGAUAACUUCAGGAAACUGGGGCUAAUACCGGAUAGGAGCUUCUGCUGCAUGGUGGGGGUUGGAAAGUUUCGGCGGUUGGGGAUGGACUCGCGGCUUAUCAGCUUGUUGGUGGGGUAGUGGCUUACCAAGGCUUUGACGGGUAGCCGGCCUGAGAGGGUGACCGGCCACAUUGGGACUGAGAUACGGCCCAGACUCCUACGGGAGGCAGCAGUGGGGAAUAUUGCACAAUGGGCGGAAGCCUGAUGCAGCAACGCCGCGUGCGGGAUGACGGCCUUCGGGUUGUAAACCGCUUUCGCCUGUGACGAAGCGUGAGUGACGGUAAUGGGUAAAGAAGCACCGGCUAACUACGUGCCAGCAGCCGCGGUAAU
rnacentral:rRNA from 1 species